rnacentral:rRNA from 1 species
UACAGAGGGGGCGAGCGUUAUUCGGAAUUAUUGGGCGUAAAGGGCGCGUAGGCGGCUUGGCAAGUGGAAGGUGAAAUCCCUCGGCUCAACUGAGGAACUGCCUUCCAGACUGCUUUGCUUGAGUCCGGGAGAGGUGAGUGGAAUUCUCAGUGUAGCGGUGAAAUGCGUAGAUAUCUGGAGGAAUACCGGUGGCGAAGGCGGCAUCCUGGACCGACAUUGACGCUGAGGAGCGAAAGCCAGGGGAGCAAACGGG